rnacentral:rRNA from 1 species
UGGGGAAUAUUGGACAAUGGGCGAAAGCCUGAUCCAGCCAUGCCGCGUGUGUGAAGAAGGUCUUCGGAUUGUAAAGCACUUUAAGUUGGGAGGAAGGGCAUUAACCUAAUACGUUAGUGUUUUGACGUUACCGACAGAAUAAGCACCGGCUAACUCUGUGCCAGCAGCCGCGGUAAUACAGAGGGUGCAAGCGUUAAUCGGAAUUACUGGGCGUAAAGCGCGCGUAGGUGGUUUGUUAAGUUGGAUGUGAAAUCGCCGGGCUCAACCUGGGAACUGCAUUCAAAACUGACUGACUAGAGGAUGGUAGAGGGUGGUGGAAUUUCC